AACACUCCAUUCAUAAAACUCAAUUUUUUAGAAUCAUACAUGGUUUGGCACUUUUAUGAGAGUUAAAAAGAGAUGGGUACAUAAAUAUGACAACACGGUUGAGUUUCGUCUGUCUUUCUGUCAUUUCACUCCAUCAGUGGCGUGACGGUGGUGUGGUGUUUUUUCAUCAAAAAUUUUAAAAUAGUUAUUUUGUGUAUUUUAAUUUAAAUUUUAAUUUGUAAUAUACGUAGUAAUAUCGAUAAUAUACAAUGUAGGGGCGUUUGCACCAAGUUUUUUAAGUAAAACUUAACAUUAUGUUUAGCUUAUUUUCUUGCACUAUGCUUUAAUCUAACUUGAAUUUAUAUUUAAAUUAAGCGGUCAAAUUUCCAGGCUAGUGGCCACUUAACCUAUCUUAGACAUAAAAAAAUUGUUUUACGAGGAAGAAUUAUUGUUAUUCCUUUGAGAAAGCUAAAAAGUGUAUUAUGAUACCUCUACGUAAGUUCGAUGAUUACUUUUGAUAUCCUAGACGUCGAUCAGUAGGUAUAUUCAUUGAAAAUGGAUUUCCUCAAGAGUGGAUGUAAGGAAAAAUCAUAUUGCCAAGAAAUGAACCUCCUUAAGUUUUUAGGACAGAGACUUUUAAACGACACUGUAAUAUAUAUCCUCGGUUUAAUUGAACAAAAUCUAGAAUAUCAAAUAUAUAUAUUUGGGUUUCCUGGGAUUAUAGGGAUAGUUGAUGGAACACAAUGUAAGAAAACAUUCACCUGGGGGUAUUGAUGGAGAGGUAUUUAGAAAUAGAAAAGCAUUAUUUUCCCCAACAUUUAAAUUACUGGAAAUGCUAGUCUUAAAACUAUAGACUUGAUUGCUUGUUGGCAUGGGUCUGUGCAUGAAGCCACCAUUUUUGGAAAUUAAGGACCCGCUUGGAGACUGGUGACUUUUCAAAUUAAAUCCUGCUUGGUUAGUGGUGAGAUUGCAUAUGCAUUGAGGGGAUAUAUGCAGAAAUAGAGCUGAAGAAAUGUUUCAGAAUUAUCGUUAUAUGGAAACGCCACUUUCCAAUAUGUGUUUUAUGGUAUAAGACCAAAAUUACAAAACACAAUGUCAGUUAUUGUUGCACAAC